GACGAACGCUGGCGGCGUGCCUAAUACAUGCAAGUCGAACGCAGUGGGGACGGGUGAGUAACACGUGGGUAACCUCCCAUCAGAGGGGAUAACACUUGGAAACAGGUGCUAAACCGAUACUGAUGGAUGGACCCGCGGUGCAUUAGAUAGUUUGUGAGGUAACGGCGCACCAAGGCCACGCUGCAUAGCCGACAGGAUAGGGUGAGUUGCCAAACUGUGACUGAGACACGGCCCAGACACCUACGGGAGGAAGCAGGAGGGAAUCGUCGGCAAUGGACGAAAGUCUGACCGAGCAACGCCGCGUGAGUGAAGAAGGUUUUCGGAGCGUAAAACUCUGUUGUUAGAGAAGCGGUAUCUAACCAGAAAGCCACGGCUAACUACGUGCCAGCCGCCGCGGUAAUAC
rnacentral:rRNA from 1 species